UACUAGGAGUUUGCGAUAUACCGUCAAGCUUCCACAGCGAAAGCGUUAAGUAAUCCACCUGGGGAGUACGCCGGCAACGGUGAAACUCAAAGGAAUUGACGGGGGCCCGCACAAGCGGAGGAACAUGUGGUUUAAUUCGAUGAUACGCGAGGAACCUUACCCGGGAUUGAGAUGUAGAUGACGGAUGGUGAAAACCGUCUUCCCUUCGGGGCUUCUAUGUAGGUGCUGCAUGGUUGUCGUCAGCUCGUGCCGUGAGGUGUCGGCUUAAGUGCCAUAACGAGCGCAACCCACAUCGGUAGUUGCUAACAGUUUUCGCUGAGGACUCUACCGAGACUGCCGUCGUAAGGCGUGAGGAAGGUGUGGAUGACGUCAAAUCAGCACGGCCCUUACAUCCGGGGCGACACACGUGUUACAAUGGGAGGGACAAAGGGCAGCUACCGGGCGACCGGAUGCGAAUCUCUAAACCCUUCCCCAGUUCGGAUCGGAGUCUGCAACUCGACUCCGUGAAGCUGGAUUCGCUAGUAAUCGCGCAUCAGCCAUGGCGCGGUGAAUACGUUCCCGGGCCUUGUACACACCGCCCGUCAA
rnacentral:rRNA from 1 species